GGGAGGCAAAACAAAGCUCCAGUUAGACAAACCCAGUUCAAUAGAAACGACUGGAAGAUGUCUGCAAGUCUUGGUAGUCUGUGCGGCUAGCCUCUGUUUUCCUCCUGGGAGAAGAAUAAAAAUUGCGGUUACCUCGGUGCCGGUGCCGUGAGCCGGAGGCCGCAGCUCCUCCGGCAGCGUCUUCUCCCCCGCAGCUGCUCGUCGGUGAUGUCCCAAGAUCGAGCUGUGAGCUCAACAAGAAGAGAAGUUUUUCCUUGGACACCCUUGUGUGUGGGGCUUUAGAAGGGCUGCUGUCCGCAGAGGCAACGAGGAGCAGAGGGGUGUCAGAAACUAAGAAACCAGGCAGAUCCAUCUACUCAGACCCUAACCAUGGCCCUAAAGUAAAUUGCUUGAAGAAAUUAGUUCCCAACGAUUAUAGGUGCAGAGUUUUUGAAGUAUGUUCAUAUUCAAGUGUAGAUCAAAGAAGCUCAACUAAAAGGAUUGUGGACUGACUGAAAUGACAUCAAGAUUGAACAAAAAAGGGAAUAAGAUGAUUAAGACUCAAACUCAGGAGGAACUAAGGCAGUGGAAGAACUCAGAACAUGUGAAAUUCCUUAAAUAAAAGUUUAUUAACUUUAAAAACAACAACAACAAAUACUUAGCCCAAACCCAGGCACCUAGUCCCAGGUUACUAGUAUGAAAUGAGGAAAGAGGUGUGGCCUGGCUGGGUGGCUCAGUUGGUUGGAGUAUCAUCUCACACACCAAAAAGACUGUGGGCUUGAUGCCCUGUCAGGGCACAUACGUGGGUUGUGGGUUUGAUCCCUGGUCGGAGUGCGUAUGGGAGACAACCGAUCAAUGUUUCUCUCUCUCUCUCUCUCUCUCUCUCUCUCUCACUCUCUCUCCCCCCCCCUUAGUCCCUCCCCCCCUCUCUCUAAAAUCAAUGAGCAUAUCCUCGGGUGAGGAUUAAAAAGAAAAAAAGGAGAGGUGUGUUUGGUAAGGGACACAACACCUUUGUAAACCUGUGGCUGCAGCUACUGGAAGAGGAGCUCUGCUACACUCACUGGCACCAGGAGAGACCAGGGUCUUGGAUCCCAUCUGUACUAUCCCCAGGAAAUUAGGCUUCCCAAGAGGGCCCCUGAGCAGAGAGCCCCGUAAUUCAGACUGUGAGUUUACAAAUAAACUUUUUCCAAUUCUCAUACAGGUAGUCAGGUCUGGAGGAUCAAGGCAUACUCAUUUCACUCACAAAAAAACCCCAACCAAUUUAUUAGCCAGAAUACAACUUUUCACAUUUCCAAGGAGAUCCAUUUAGGCCCAAGAUCAGGAACCAGUGUUCCGUGCAGCACCCCCAGAGCAGGCAGCAGGGGGAGGAGCACCACGUGGCGGGCACACCCAACACUGAGUAAACCAACCACGGAAACCACGUGCAAACCGGCUCUUUGGAAACAAUGGAAAGUUGGUGGUUUUGAAGGAUUGUUUAUCAUGGAACAAAGCCUGGUGAUCGCUUUCUUUUCUCCUUUGUACAGAUAGGUGAGUCAGAACUGUGUUCCCUGGAAAGUGCUAGCGAAAUGCCGACAUAUUCCUCCUUCCCAGCCCCCUUUUGUCUGGGCUCCAUAGUCCCCCUGCCUGUCUGUUUGUCAUUUUGUGGCCUCAUCUCUAGUCUAUCAAUUUCUCAACUUGCAAUACUCAAGUUGAUAACUUACCAACGACUGUAUCUAUUAAUAAUCAGGUGUUACUUAUAUUUCAAAUUAUCCCUACACGAUUCAAAAGGUACAAAAGGGUAGAUAGUCAAGGGAGUUCUUCUCACGCCUGUCCUCCAGCCGUGCAGGUCCUUUCCUGGGAAACAACCCACACCAUCAAUUUCUUAGGUAUUUUCCCAGAGAUGGUCUGUGCAUAUGUAAGCAAGUUUUUCAUGUUCAUCUUUUUUCCUCCCCAAAUGGUAACAUACUCAGAGGAAUUUAAUCACUUUAAUAAAUCUUUCAAUCAGAAUUUCUCAGCCAUCUGCUCUGUCAAGGAUCGGUGGGAGAGAAAAGAAGUUACAGGCAGCAGCCCAGGGAUUACCCAACUUCCCCAGCCUUCACCCCCUCUCCUCCCGCUCCCCCAGUGAGUGAUGAGAGGGAGUAUGCGCAAUGUGCAGGUUGUCUUUGGGAGGUAUUGUGGUGAGAAUCAACACUUCAAUCACGCUAAAGUUUAACAUUCUCUGAGACGUUUAACUCCAUCUAUCACUGUCAUUUAUUAGGCAAUCCCUGGGACCCUAAGCAGUACAGUUGAUCCUUGAAUAGCAGUGGGGUUAAGGGUGCUGACUUCCCAUUCAGUAAAAAAAAUCACAGAUAAUUUUGACUCCCCAAAACUGGGAAGCCUUAUUGAUAAUAUAAACCCAAGCUAUAUUUUGGGUUUUUUUUGUUUUUAUUUGUUUUUAUUGAUUUCAGAAAGGAAGGGGAAAGGAGAGAGAGAUAGAAACAUCAAUGAUGAGAGAGAAUCACUGAUUGGCUGCCUCCUGCAUGCCCCUCACUGGGGAUCCAGCCCGCAACCCAAGCAUGUGCCCUGACCUGAAUUGAACCCGGGACCACCUGGUUCAUAGGUCGAUGCUCAACCAUUGAGCCACACUGGCUGGGCUAAGAUAUAUUUCGUAUGUUAUCUGUAUUACAUACUAUAUUCGUACAAUAAAGUAAGCUAGAAAAAAGAAAAUAUUAAGAAAAUCAUAAGGAAGAGAAAAUACAUUUGCAGUACUAAAGGUAUUUGUUGAAAAAAAUCUACAUACAGGUGAGUGGACCCUCACAGUCCAAAUCUGUGUUGUACAAGGGUCCACUGUAUACCGGAAGCUGGACGGCUGCCGCAGGUGCAGCUUACGGUGCCUGUCUACAGGGACACGUGUCUUUGGUUAAGCUUUCCCCAGAGAGCACGGGGUCACCUCCAGGAUAAUUCUACACAAGAAAGAAUGUUUCUUGAAUUUGAAUUCACCUUUUGAAUGACCCAGACAUUCAUGUAGUUUUUUAAAAGCUCACUCUUUAAAAAUUAUCCGAUCCUAGAACCUAAUUUUGUUUUACCGUAUAUGUAAAACCAGACUAUUUUCUGCAUAGUUUCACAUACAUUACAUUUUCCAGAAAUGAGGCUACUAUGUGAACUGAGGAAAGCUUGCACUGUUUUGUUGGGAGCUUUAGCAUGAGCUGUUCCCCAUUCUAGAAAAUCACAUCGCUGACAGCAGCACUGCCUGUGGCAUUUAAGUUGCUAAUCCCAUAAGAAUGCUGUAUCAGGCCCCAUUGUGGCCACAUUGAUUCUACCUUUAGUUGCAAAAGUUUGACAGCUUCAUCAAUGUGAUUGUGCCUGAGCACUUUUAUGGAAAUAGAUAUUCUUUUGUUAUAUGUAUCUUCCUUUUAUUUAUUUCUUAUCUUAUAGCUAUAUUAUUAUAUUGAUUUUAUUUGACAUUAUAUGGGUAAAUAGAUUCUAUUACUUAUGAUUUUCAUUUCUAGAUUUAAAAGUAUUUGUUAUAUUGGGGGGA